UUUACGCGCACUUUUUUGAAUUUCAUCGCGUUGACAUUCAUAUUACUGGGCAGAAAUAACCUUGCGUCAGCACCGUGAACGGCCCUCGCGAUGUUUCGUUUUAAUUAGACAGUCGGAUUCCCCCGGUCCGUGCCAGUUCUGAGUUGGCUAUUUUCUACCGGCCGAAGCAAGAACCUCAGGCGCGAAGCCCACGGAAAAUGCACAGCUGUGGCUUUCCACAGGAAGGUCCCGACGCUGGUCCGGGCUCGGCGGCACCACUUUUUACGGCGGAGAGCCUCGCCCAGUCCCCGGGCACUGCCCUUUG
rnacentral:lncRNA from 1 species